GUGGGGAAUAUUGGGCAAUGGGCGAAAGCCUGACCCAGCAACGCCGCGUGAAGGAAGAAGGUUUUCGGAUCGUAAACUUCUAUCCUUGGUGAAGAUAAUGACGGUAGCCAAGAAGGAAGCCCCGGCUAACUACGUGCCAGCAGCCGCGGUAAUACGUAGGGGGCAAGCGUUGUCCGGAAUGAUUGGGCGUAAAGGGCGCGUAGGCGGCCCGGUAAGUCUGAAGUGAAAGUCCUGCCUUUAAGGUGGGAAUUGCUUUGGAUACUGUCGGGCUUGAGUGCAGGAGAGGUAAGCGGAAUUCCCGGUGUAGCGGUGAAAUGCGUAGAGAUCGGGAGGAACACCAGUGGCGAAGGCGGCUUACUGGACUGUAACUGACGCUGAGGCGCGAAAGUGUGGGGAGCAAACAGGAUUAGAUACCCCGGUAGUCC
rnacentral:rRNA from 1 species